rnacentral:rRNA from 1 species
UGGGGAAUAUUGCACAAUGGGCGCAAGCCUGAUGCAGCCAUGCCGCGUGUAUGAAGAAGGCCUUCGGGUUGUAAAGUACUUUCAGCGAGGAGGAAGGCGGUAAGGUUAAUAACCUUAUCGAUUGACGUUACUCGCAGAAGAAGCACCGGCUAACUCCGUGCCAGCAGCCGCGGUAAUACGGAGGGUGCAAGCGUUAAUAGGAAUUACUGGGCGUAAAGCGCACGCAGGCGGUCUGUCAAGUCGGAUGUGAAAUCCCCGGGCUCAACCUGGGAACUGCAUUCGAAACUGGCAGGCUAGAGUCUUGUAGAGGGGGGUAGAAUUCCAGGUGUAGCGGUGAAAUGCGUAGAGAUCUGGAGGAAUACCGGUGGCGAAGGCGGCCCCCUGGACAAAGACUGACGCUCAGGUGCGAAAGCGUGGGGAGCAAACA